rnacentral:rRNA from 1 species
ACGGAAGGCAGCAGUGAGGAAUAUUGGUCAAUGGGCGGAAGCCUGAACCAGCCAUGUCGCGUGCAGGACUACGGCCCUACGGGUCUUAAACUGCUUUUGCAAGGGGAUAAAGUGGGGCACGCGUGCCCCUUUGCAGGUACCUUGCGAAUAAGGAUCGGCUAACUCCGUGCCAGCAGCCGCGGUAAUACGGAGGAUCCGAGCGUUAUCCGGAUUUAUUGGGUUUAAAGGGUGCGCAGGCGGUCGAUUAAGUCAGUGGUCAAAUCACGGUGCUCAACGCCGUUCCGCCAUUGAUACUGGUUGACUUGAUUCCGGUCGAGGCAGGCGGAAUUCGUAGUGUAGCGGUGAAAUGCAUAGAUAUUACGAAGAACUCCGAUUGCGUAGGCAGCUUACCAGGCCGGCAAUGACGCUCAUGCACGAAAGUGCGGGGAUCGAACAGGAUUAGAUACCCUGGUA